CAGGCCUAUUGAUGUUUAUCAGCCCAUGUUUAUUAUUCUUAACGCUGUUCAGGAUGUUCCUCCCGGCUGGGGAGAGUAAAGCAAGCCAGUGGGAGAAUGUGGGGCCAUGACCUUGAACCUUGGCCUUGCUGCCACCCAGGCUGUGUCAGAGCCCCCAUUGGCCCAGCUGCCUCAUUGAACAGAUUAAAAAGUUGAGGCCAGAAAUGGGGAGGUGGUUUGCUCAAGGUUGUGAGUGAACUAGGUGUGGAGGAUUAGUUACCCAGGGAACUGAGCCUGAAUCAGCUAAAUUUCUCCAAGCACCUGAUCAGUGCUCAGUGCUUUGUCUCACAAGUGCUUGGUGCUUUGUCCUAUAAUCGUUAAAUGUUUGCUAGAUGAGUGGGUUCUGGAGAAGGAAUUAUCCAAGGGAUGAAGGAAGAGAUGAGGCAGGAAGUUGGUACUUCCAGGUACCAUGGACAGGACAAAACAGAAUGAAAUCCCUUGAGAAUGGAUCAUCUACAGAUGAUGGAGUCCCCUUCUGUCUGGAGACAGGAGAGUUCCAGACUAAGGUGCUAGCAUCUGUCAAAGCUGUGUCACAGCUCUCCCCAGUGUCAUCAGCAGGUCAGGAUCUGGACAGGCAGGGCAGCCUUGAGGAAUAGUACACAGACCUGCAGGACAAGUGAAGGUUGCACAGUCUUCAAGAUGGGGCUGGGAGAUGGAGAGAGACAAGGAGAGAGCCUGUCACAAGGAAAGCCCUUCUCUGCCUUUGCCCGUACUCUUGCCAACUUGAGUAGCACCUAAUGAAUGCCUUGCACCGUGGCUACAUCUGCUUCCUCCACACCCUUCCCAUGGCUGCCCUGGAGGCUUGUAGAAGCACAUGCUUUUCGGGGAGGAGUGGAGAGAGAAUUGUCAGAGGUCAUACUUGAAGGUACUCAAUGUUUCCUGAUACAUACAACACGGUGGCCACUGAGACACUACCAACUCCACAUGGACAGGAGCAGAUCAGUGGGCAGAGGCCCCCAGGACCUCGACAAGAAUGCUUCCUCUUAGCCCAUGGAACUGGGUGGCCAGGGGAUGCCUCUGCUGGCUGGCCUCAGCUCCCCAUGAGAGGUUAGAGUUCUGGAGACAAAUGUCAGAUCAGAAUCCCUGUAGAAGGGCCUCUUGACCUUGAGUGAGGAGUGGUUGAGAGUUUCCCGGAAACCAAGCCCCCAACUAAUGGUCCCACUCUCUUUUCUAAUAAAUACGUGGCCCUGGGCCCGGCUCCCUUCUCUGCUUUGUCAUGAGGGACCUGUUAUUUAUGACUUGGGAGUGACUCACAGGCCUUGGCAGGGAGCUAACGGUUCUGGGCCCAAUGUAUUUUUCCACUCAGUAGCAAAUGAAGGAGGAGCUUGUAAAUUCUGCCGUCAGAACGACUGUGUAGGUAUCUUUUCAGAUGCUCCUCCUGGCUUGGCCAUAAAUCUUUUCCCUGGUAGAUGUUCCCGGUGGUCUUUGGCAGCUGCUGGGAGAGUGGGUGGGGGCUCUUCCAGACUCUGGACUCAGCUCCCCAGCCACACAAGUAACUCUGUGCCCAAGGAACUGCCACAGCCUCUCUGAAGAUUUCCCCCAGGCAAAUUGGGUGCAAAGUGAGCUGGGAGAGAUGACAGAGUCAGUACAGUGAGUCCCAGAGAAGGAAAGGAUAGAACAUGGGAGAAAGGUAAUAACAUAGUGGUGUGUUGCUGGCAUCUGUGACCCACAGGGUUCAGUCAGUCCCUCCCAACUCUCUGUGCUGGGCCCAUCAUCAACCAUCCAAGACCACCCUGGGCAAGCUACACUCAACCAGGCUUCAUUGACUUACUUUUCUCCAUGCCCCAAGCCCACUCAGAAAGCCAAGUGCCAGGCAGAGUUGCAUAGCUCACUUAUUUUUCUUACAGAUUAGUAGCUCCCAAAGAGUCUUUUCUAUUUACCCAACAACCAGGCACUUGACGGGUCUAGGAAAACUGUCAAAAACUACACACUGAGAGUCUGCCCUUCGUACAGACUAGUAACAUAGCCAGCCAGUUUUCCAGAUCCCAAAAGAAACCCAAGACCUUAGACUUCAGAAACAAGUGUGUGUGUGUGUGUGUGUGUGUGUGUGUGUGUGUGUGUGUGCCAGUUUCAUACAGAGCCAGGGUUACCUGCUUGUACACUGUGAGGGUUGCAUCAUGGGAGGCCCCUGGAGCUGGUGGGACCUGGAUCUUUUGUAAUAGUCAUAAGUAAAUCUAAGCUCUGGAAGAUGUUACCUUUGGUAAACAGAACUGCUGUGUCUUCUCAAGCUAUGAACUGUACAAAAGCCAUGGAAAGGGAGCAAGGUGCAGGGGAGCUGGGUCUGUUGUUGGCAGGAAGCACAGAAAUGGGAAACCCCAGGGGACAGGAGACCUAUGUCCUAAUGAUCUUGCUUUUAUUUGUCUCCUAGUGACCAUUUCCAGCACAACGCUCCAUCCCAGAGACUCUAAAAUCUUGAUUGCAUCUCAGAGUCUUAUGGAGGUUGAGGCAAAAGCAGGCUGUAGCCCUCUAUAAGCAGACCCAGCUGUAUGCCCGUGACUCUAAUCAGAGGAACUAGGGAUUGGAUGCUCCCUAGAGUAGUCCCUUGUCAAAAGACACUAAGGAGGAGAAAGUGAAAUACUUUCCUCAUUCUCUGUGACUGAAACAUCUCCUAUUGUCUCCAUUCUCCCUACUUGAUGCCCAGUCAAGCCCCAGUAGCUAUGCUUGGUAGGUGCUCAGUUCUGUCCCCUCCCCUGACGCCACCCUUUAUGGGCUUCUCUUUCCUCCCAUUCUCACGUCUGUACUCUCCCAGAGCCUUCCCAGGAACACUCAAGCCCUCGUCUCUGUGAACCCUAUCCCAGGACACAGCACAUGUGACUUAAGACAUAACCUAAGUUAGCAUGGACACCCACCACAUUUGAAAAGGUCACGUGUGCUGUGCUCAAAAUGCAAGGAGUAAAAAGUGAAGCUUGGGAACAGUGUUUCUGAAAUACAUAAAAUUUAACAGUUAUUCCUUCCAAGAAGGAUGGCUCAAAGAGGGUAGGAGUGGAAAUAUGGCAUUGAGGGGUGCAGAUGGGGGGUCACCCUAAUCCAGACCCUGUGGGAGCUCCCAGUAACACAAUGACUGAAAUGAGAGAAGACAACAAGGUGUCAAGGUAGGGUCAUUGGUCAGUUAAAGUUUGCCCUUGGGGGAUGGAGAGAUGGCUCAGCAGGUCAAAGAGCUUCCUGCUCAUAAAGAGGACUCUGGUUCUAUUCUCAGCACUCACAGGGCAGUUCACUUGCAUAUUCCAGUCAAGGCAAGAGAAAUAAGCUUAGCUUAGAGAACAGAACUUGAAAGAAAUACUGUCAACUAACAUAUGCAAAAAAAACUGGGACUUCCGGACAGAGACAGAGCUCCAUAAAGGUGACAGAGUUUGUUAACCCUGCAAAGAAAUCACAAUAGAAUAUUGGAUCUUCUUGUGCAUGCUAGGGGGUGCUCCCCCCAGGAGCCCCUGCAGGAACAUCUGCUUGUCUAGUUCUAGCAGAGGCUGCCAUCAGUCAGGUGUACACAGUAUCAGGUCUUUGUUUUGGGUUUUGCCAUACACUUUUUUUUUUUUUGAGACUGAGGUUCUUCAUAGUCAGGGGUUCACAGAUUCAGCUAAACUGUCUGGUCAGUGAAGUCCUGAGAUCCUCCUGUCACUGCCUUCCCAGCACUGGGAUGCAAGUGUGCAUUGCCCUUUCCUUUUUACCUGAGUUCAAGCUGUGUGGCAAGCACUAUACCAAUUGAGAUAUCUCUUCAACCGCCACACACGUUCUUAAUCUUCACAUCCUCUCCAGAGCAGCUUGUUGUACCGUGGUACUUAGGAGGUGCUGAGGAGUUCUGUGUUUUGCACAGGAAUAAGAGCCAGUGUGUGAGGGCCGCAGGCUGGGCAGACAUGGACAUGCAUAGAGUUAGUUCCCCCUAAGCAUAAGCUCAAUCAGACCUGACAGCCAGAUGUCUGGACUGGUGACGUCAAGGCUUGGGACAAGGGCUGGGGGACAGCCAAGCUCUGGUUGGUAGCCCCCACCCAGACAGUUUCCCAUGAGCUAGGAUCCACAUGGGAGGCAAAUGAAAGACUGUGACAGUGCCUCCCUGCUGAGGGUACCCUGCUGAUGGGUCUGGGCUAGGAGCUGGUCUUUGUACAUCAAAAACAGGCCAAUGUUUAUGGGUUGCUGGGUCUAGACUUCAGCUUCAGCUUCAAGAAAGCAAUCCUUCCUCCUUACCUGAGGAUCCCAGAGACUAUCCCAUGCCAAAAUGCCUCCCUCCCCUCUCUUCCCCUCUCCUCCCCCUCCUCCCCUCCCCUCUCUUCUUCUCCACCACAACACUCUCUGUUCAGCCAGCACCAAGGGACAGUCCCCUUCCUCUGUGAUCUGUCCCAUGGGACACCUUUCUUCCCUCUAAAACCUGUCCCUCAGUACACACACCCAAACUGACCUCAUUAUGCCCCUACCUGCAUGGGGAGUAGGGGGUGCCGAGGUCAUCUUCAUCUUCAUUCCUGUCCAUCUUACUUUGGGAAACCUGGAACUCACAGAUUAGGCUGGACAGGAUGGCCAGCCAGCAGUAGAAGUUCCCCCAUCUUCACUUCUCUGUGUCACCACACCAUCCCUGGCUUUUCAUGUGGUUCUGGGGAAUUGAACUUGGGUCUUCCUGCAAGGCAAGCAUUUUGCCAACUGAGACAUCUCCCCAUCCCCAACCACUUCACUUCCUGAAUAUUUUGCUUAACGAGCCAGGCAAAGUCUCAGGUCAUGGAUUAAGCUAGUCUCUUGUGAUGUCCUUGAGCUAUGACAUGUCUUCUCUAGCAACCCUUGGAUUCUCCAGAUGUUUGGUGUCCACUACCUGCUGGCCACCAGCAUUGAGACUUCUCCUGGGGAAGGUGAGGGUCAGUUGCUCAACUCCAUUGUAAACAAAAGCACUAAUUAGUCUGAGGGAAAGAGGGAAAGGAGAAUGACUAAAUCACGCCCAGCUCCAGAAAUAGCUGUGGAAAGGCUUCUCAAUCCAGGAGCUAGGACAGAUGUGAUAAGCAACUACAGCUCACAGAAUAGUAAAUUGCCGGUUGCUGAUAGCAAACAUGGGAAUGAAGCUGUGACCAAAUGCACAGCAACUUCCACUGGCUGGACACUCACUGAUUUAGCAAGAAUAGGGACUGAGGAUAUGGGUCUGAGUGAGAGAAAACACCUGGACUCUAUCCAACCUGGUGGGGGCUACACCCUCUGCUUGGAGACAGAAUGGGGCAGGCCCAGCUCCUCUCUUGGCAAUAGUGAUGGGAUUGAACAGAAGCAAAGACGUGUGGGCAUGAGUCAGAACUCUGAACUCUUGUUUGCAGCUCAAACCAUAUCAGUGUGAAGGUAUCCUUUCAGAUUUGCAUGUUCAUGUGUGGGUGUGCAUAUACGUGUGUGUGUGUGUGUGUGUGUGUGUGUGUGUGUGUGUGUGUGUGUGUGUUCAUGUGUUCAUGUACAUGUGUGUGCGCAGGUACAUAUGUACAUGCCCACAUAUGUGUAUGAAGGGUAAUGGACAUCCUCCUUCUCUGAGACAGAGUCACUGGCCUGGAGCUUACCAGUUAAGGGCAGGCUGGUGAGCCAAUGAACCCCAGGGAUUUGCCAGUCUUCACCUCCCCAGAGCUGGAUUACAAGUGCUUCACCACACUUGGCUUUUUUACAAAGGGUUCUGAGGAUGGAACUCGGGUCUCUCUGCUUGCAUAGCCAAUUGAGCCACCUUCUCAUGCCAGAAAGUGGCUAUUCUUCAUUCAGAAAAUCCAACCAAGUCAUGGCAGGCAUGCACUCUCAAGAAAGUACUAAAGACCACCAUCGAUCUCUCUCUCUCUCUCUCUCUCUCUCUCUCUCUCUCUCUCUCUCUCUCUCUCUCUCUCUCUCUUUCUCUGCCUCCAUGGGCUCUCCAGUGUUAUACUAUUUAUAUAGUUCCACAUCAUUCUCUGUCUCCAUUUCUACUUAAAAAUGGAUCAGCAGUUAAGAGCACUGGACGCUCUUCUAGAGGACCUGGCACUCACAUGGAAGCUAACAACCAUCUGCAAUUCCAAUUCCAGGGGAUCUGAUGCCCUCUUCUGGCAAACACCCAUAUGCACAUAAUAUAUAAAUAAAUCUUUAAAAAUACACACGAGAGAAGGGUACUGACUAGCCUGUAAGAAAGCCUGCUGGUCUUGAGUCAAUAAACUAGAAGCAGAAAGGUAAGAAACUAGUUUGGGAAGUCCAGCAGUGGUGACCACAAGGGCAAAGCCAUCAAAGGCCAGAGCAGCCCCCUGUCUUCCAUUAAACAGAUGGGGGGUAGGAAGCGGUAGGUGAAUGGCAAGGCGCUGGACAGUAGCACUACAGUUAGACAUUGUACCUAAUAGACAGGAACAAGAAAGACCCACAGCAAAUGCAAGUUGAGAGGAUGUAGACCUAAGAACCUAGACACAGUUGGGGAGCCAGGAGAGAUAGCUGAAUAUGAGCCUUGAGGGACUGGUGGGUGCUGAUGGGGGGGGGAAGCAGCACUCCAGGCUGUGAGAAGCAAGUGACCAGAGAGAAAGGAAGUGGAGUGAACUGAACAGCCUGAGGUCUGUCUCCAGAAACGCUUUGGAAAGACCUUAGAGUCCAUUCUCCAGUCGAAGAGAAGCCAUGUGAUCAGGGUUUCAUUCAACAAACACCUUGCAGAUACUGUUAUCUUCCAGUCGUACACCAGGGGCUGGGGACAGGAAUGCAGCACACAGUCCUGUCCACUGAGAGCUCCUGGACAACUCACUAUAGCCCUGGUAUGGGAGACACAGAGCCUGGCUGUGGAAGCCAGAGUCCUGUGUGAGGUCUUACCCCACACACACCAGAGGGUAGGGAGAAAGGGGUCCCCUGGGGCUGCCAUUUAGGUCUUGCAAGUACUGAGUCCUGAACAUGUGGUAAGCAGUUGCCCAGGAGAGGCAGGCCCUACAGAGGAAAGUGGAAUGCAGAUUUCAGAGCUGGGGAGCCUGAAGAAGCAGACCAGAGGGAGCAAGACAGAGAAGCCCUUGCCCUUCAGGACGCCGUAUAGGCAAAGGGAGCUGGAGGAGGGGGGUGUUACUAACAGGGGGAGCUAGGAUUGAAUGCUAAGCAUGAACUUAUGCUUUUGCAGGUGUGUCCACAGCGAUCCCACAUGUAGCUGGGGAUAGCAAUGACUGUGGCCCAACAGAUCAUAAAUGAACAUGAAAGGUCAUUUUUUUUCAGUAAUCUCCCCCCUCUCUCUUUUUUUCUGUCUCUCUCUCAUAACUUAAUAGCACGGUUCUAGAACAUGAACUUUGCAAUGUCAGAAGGUUGAGUCAGUCCAUAUACAGCUCAGACCUGGAGAGGCACGUGGCAUGAGGAGAAAAGGGGACAGCUGAUAGGUGGCUGCGAGGUCAGGUGGGGAGAAGAGAAGACAGACUGAGGCAAGUGACAUGAUGAGGAAGGGCUGGUGCUGAGAGACAAUUAGUCAAGCAAUACUGGAGAGAGACUAGUAUGACACAGAUACAGAGGAUGCAUGAAGAGAUGGGGAAACCAUAAGUUAGGCUGGGGACACACUGAUUUUGAUUUUCAGAGGCAAUUAGCCUAGUUGCAAGGUGAGCGUGUGGCCCAAAGUCGGGAGGACCAUGCAUGCUAAGACUCAGUGCCAUCCCUUAGAGAGGGGGUGACCCCGUGGAGUGCUCCAAGUCCCAGUGGAGAACAUGCAGAAAUGGAAGGGAGCAGGUCAAGACUUCUGGCACUAGCAACACUGGCCAGGCUGGCAGAGGAACCAUCAGCCAACACAAUGGCUUAGAGCCUUCAAAUACACUGGCCCCCUGCUGUGUGCUCUUUCUUAGUACAGCUAUGGGCUUAGCCAGCCACUCCAUACCUAGAAAUGGGGUAGUGCUUUUAGACAGAACAAGAAGAGGGGUGCUCCACAGUCCUACCCCCUGUGUGUAUCAAACAUGAGCCCAGCUUCCUACUAAACUGAAGCUGUGGUUUCUAUCCUGGUUAAACCCUGAUUGGGAGUCUUUGGCUUGGAUGGAAGGCAAAGAGGCCAAGGGGGGACGGGGUCAGUCCAGUCAGAUUUGCAGAGGUCACAAGGGAGGUCUGAGAUAGACUUGGUGAUGAACCACUGGUUACACAGGGAGCAGGUUCCACAGAGAGGAGGGGUGACAAGUUUGGAUGUAGGUUGAGUAAGAAUUAAGUGAAAACAGCUCCCAAAAGUGGGCCAUGAAUGAAAGGUGCUGUGGGCCAGGUUCUCUGUAGCAUAUAGGAAAUGAUAGGUACUGAGCCAGCGGAAGGGCUUGAACUAGAGAGAGGGGAAUCAUAGAAAUACAGCUUAGCCAGGAAAGGGUAGAAGAGGUGUUGUCAACAGCCAGGGAUCUCUCAGAAGGAAACUCAAGGCAACCUGAGAUCAUGAAGAGGUCCAGGAGCAAGGGGUAGUUCCAAGAUGUGCAUGCUCUGGGCUAGAAAGACAGGUGUCUUGUCAUAGACUGGAGUAGACUCUGCCUAGAAGGGUUUGGAAAAGGUAGGCAAAGUUACUAGAAAGUUCCAAUGCCAUUACACACAGGUAGUUCUGAGGUCCUCCCCACAACUGCUUCUCUGAUGUCAUAGCCUGUGCGGAACCCCACCUCACAUGAUAGGAGUAUGGGUUGUCUGAGAUGACGUCUACUGGAUAGGACCAAGGAGCCUCAGAUGCAAAUGAAGGCCUGGUGAGGAAGGCAGGUAGGCUGAAGGGAAUGUAGAAGAGGAGGCAACCAGAUUUGGAUUCUGGGCUUUCUGUUCCAGAACAGGAAGAGUGUGGGGACUGCAAAUGUCAGGAAGACAUGCUGUGGAGACAGCUGGGGACCAGUCGGGUCAGAUACUCCCCUGGAGAGUAGCUGGGAGACAGAAGCUCCAGUUCCCAUGUCACCAGGGUUGAGGGGAGCAUGGCUGGAAUGUGCACAAGCCAAUGUCCAUUCCCUGGGGUGGCCAGCAGGGAACCUCCAGCUCUGAAGUCAUCACCACCAGAGAAGCCUAGACCUCUCCAUGGAAAAAGGUCCCCCUGGGAUGCUUGGCGCCAGUGUGGAUGAGCUCAUAGUUGCUCCCUGUUGCUUCCCUCUUUUGUAGGCAUCUCAGAUUUCUGGAUGCUUGGAGAAUCUGCUGAGGACAAGAAGGGGGCUGGGAUUCAGAUGCAAGGUGGAUAUGGAACUUCAGGGGUUACUCCUUCCUUUCUUUUCAGUCCUGAGCAAGAUGUGGAGGUACUACACUCUGCCACACAUACUGCUCACCUCCCAUUAGGGCAUCAAGAACUUUAUGGGAAGCCACCAUUUAGAAGACACAGGUGAAGACUUUGCUUAGCAAAUGGUGGACCUGAACACAAAAAAUAAUGGGAGCUAGAGGGGCUGGGUGACAGGAGCCUGGUGGGGUGGGGGCAGCUGGAGAUAGGGAGAUCUCUCUUGACAACUAUGCUAGCCAACUUGAUGACUGUGCUGGUUAGUUUUGCUUUUUUGUCAACUUGACCCAAGCUAGGGCUAUCUGGAAAGAGGGAGACUCUGGAAGAGGAGAUAAAAUGUCCCUGUCAGAUUUACUUGUGAGGUGUUUUCUUGAUCAAUGAUUGAUGCAGGAGAGCCCAGCGCACUGUGGGUGGUGCUGAGUUCUGUAAGAAAACAGGCUGAGCAAGCCAUGGAGAGCAAGCCAGGAAGCAGCAUUCCUCCCUGGUUUCUGCUUCAGUUCCUGCCUCCAGGUUCCUGACCUGACUUCCCUUCAUGAUGAACUGUAUCCAGGAUGCCAGGAAUUCCAGAAGAGGACCACCAGCAAGCAGGUCCUGCCUCUUGCUCCUGGCAUUUCCUCCCUCUCAGUGGCCUUCCCUCAUCCCAGCCCGGCCUCUCAUAGGUACAGAUGGUGGCCCCAGAAUCAGCAUGGAUCCCAGAAAGGAAAGUCAGGCUGCAGAGCAAAGCCACAGCCAGCCCUCGAAGCAUGAGUAUGAGUGAGAAGUUCUGUCAACACAUACGGUAGAACUUUGACGUUCACCAUUGCCACCACCAACCCAGCCCUAGAAGACCAACACAGAUACCACACAGAGACACCUCAGGCCCUUCUGGAUCAUCCAUCAAUACAGUUCUCCUGUGUGACUGAGAGCAGGCCCCACACAUCAGCUCAUAACUGACUGUAGUUUUAGUUCCAAGAAGUCUAACGCCCUCUUCUGGCCUCCAUAGUUACUACACAUAUAUGGUGCAUAUAAACCCAUGUAAGCAUUCAUACAUAUACAUAAUAUUGAUGGGGCUGGAGACAUAGCUCAGUGGCUAAGAACACAUACUGCUCUUUCAGAGGACCCAAGUUCAGUUCCCAACACUCAUAAUAGGCAGCUCACAACCAAAAGAUCUAAAGCCCUCUUCUGCCCUCCACAGGCCCUUGCUCUCACAUGGUUCACGCACGCGCGCAUGCAUACACACACACACACACACACACACACACACACACACACACACUGAGUCUUAGAAAAAGUGAUAUUGUCACUUUCUCUAGCACUAUCCUUGUUGAAUCCUGUGAGGUUUUCACAGCUCCCCUCUUCCUUCUCCAAGCACUGGUGUGGCUACCCAGCCCAAGAACCUCUGCCUGUACACUCAGGCAGUAUGUCUGGCUCACACUGGUAAAGGACAGGGGCUAAGGCUUGCUCCCCUAGGGAGAGGCCUAAUCAUCUCCCCUCCUUUUGGUCCUGAGCCCUCCUCCCUGCUCCCCCCUCUCCCAUGUGGCAGCCACAUGGUCCUGGAAUGGCCUGCACAGUGGAGCAAAAGCAAGACCUUCCUGUGUUUCUGGAGCUCCUUUUGUGGCUUUCUUGGGAGUGUGGACACAUCCAAGACUUGGUUUUGGACCUGGAGGCAGUAGAUGGAGCAGGUCUUUAGAGGAUUCUGGUUCUGGGCCAUUUGGACUGAUUUAUUUGGGCAAGACAUUUCUCCACGUCAUCUAGCAUGCCUCACUAGCGUUCUCAUUUGUAUAUUCUAUUUAAAUCUUAGAGGUCUUUUUUUUUUUAUCAAAGCAAUACAUGUACAUAUUUUGAAAGUAAAAUGUUCUACAAGGUUCAUAAUGAGAAGCACAGUUUCUGGCCAGUCCUGCUUGCUUCUGGGUCUUCUUCUGACACAAGCACUUUGAAGUAUUUUAACCUCAUUUUGUCUUUAUUUCCGUAUUUCCAAGUGGCAUGCUAAAGUGGACAUUUCUGGCAAAUUUUACCACCAGGUUCUGUCCAUCUUAUCACAGGAAGGCAAUUUUCAGCCCUCUCACACUACCAGUCUCCACAGACAGUCUCUAUUGCUGUGAAGAGACACCAUGAACUCGCAAAUCUAAUAAGGAAAGCAUUUAAUUGGGGGAUUGUUUACCAUUUCAGAGGGUUAGUGCAUGAUAAUCAUGACAGGGAUCAUCACAGAAGGCAGAAAAGCAUGGUGCUGGGUCAUCCUGAUCACAAGGUGGGGAGGCAGGGAGAGAGGGAGGGA
rnacentral:lncRNA from 1 species